ACUACUGCAUGCUUUCUUCUGAUCUUGAAAGGUAUUGGGACUUAUGGGAUGUGACUUUGAUCCAUUUCCUAAGUACACAGAGCAGUUAUCUGCACAUGGAUGGAGAGGCAAGAGAUUCCAUUUGCAGCCCAAAACAAUUGUCUUGAGAUGUAGGUGGCUGGAGUCCAGUGUUUGCUUUUCUUAUUAACCUGAAGACUGAACUCUCUUAAGAAUCUUAAAGUGCUUUUUACAUUUAUUAGUAGUAUUAUCAGCAUUUUACAUUGCUUCCCCUCCCCCCAUUUUCCCAGUUAGUUGGCUUCUCCAGUUCAGUAAUGGUAGGCUCCAUGUGUUGUAGGUCCCAUGAUUCCAUGACAGUGUGGGAUGAUGACCCAGGAGCCAGGCAAUGGUGAAGGCUGCCUAUUUAUGGCCUACAGUGGGUACCCUCUACGUUAUCUUUGUGGAUGGAGAUGGGCAUGGUUGACAUCAAGAAAGGAUGUGUUGGCCAAAGGAGGAGUGGAGCCAGGAUGAUCAUCUUUUGGCUCUGACAAACAGAACAGACCAGAACAAAAUCGUAAGACUGGAACCUUGAAGCAUACCAGGCCCAAAAAUUAAGAUUCAUUGAACAGGAAACGCAACCCCCCUGCAUAUGUUAAUAAGGUUAAUGAAGUACUUGCUACCACACAUGACUAUGUUACUCAGCUCUCCACUUCUAUCACGCCAUACGUAACAGGAGGAGGAGGAGACAAUUGGGCUGUAUAUAAGGAGGGUAGAAACUUCAUCGAAGUACGGGGAAGACCCAAAAAGACCUCAGGGACAGUCAACGGACGACUCUCCUCUCUCUCAUCCCAAGCAGGAACGUCUUUGUGAACCACCUGUCAUGUCAGAGAAGUUACAUGUCCUUGGGGGCUUCUCUCCCCCCGAACCUGCUACUGAAAGAAUCCAGGAUAUCACCAACG